rnacentral:rRNA from 1 species
AUUGAACGCUGGCGGCAGGCUUAACACAUGCAAGUCGAGCGAGCGGCGGACGGGUGUGUAAUGUCUGGGAAACUGCCUGAUGGAGGGGUAUCUAUACUGGAAACGGUAGCUAAUACCGCAUACCCUCAGAUGUGCCAAGAUGGGAUUAGCUUGUAGGUGGGGUCAUGGCUCACCUGGGCGACGAUCCCUAGCUGGUCGGAGAGUAUGACCAGCCACACUGGAACUGAGACACGGUCCAGACUCCUACGGGAGGCAGCAGUGGGGAAGAUGGCACAAUGGGCGCAAGCCUGAUGCAGCCAUGCCGCGUGUGUGAAUAAGGCCUUCGGGUUGUAAAGCACUUUCAGCGAGGAGGCGUUACUCGCAGAAGAAGCACCGGCUAACUCCGUGCCAGCAGCCGCGGUAAUUC